rnacentral:pre_miRNA from 1 species
AGCGGGUCCGUUUCUAGUGUCAUGUGCUGUAUUCGAAUAUCAUGACUAGAGGCAGACUCGUUUA